rnacentral:tRNA from 1 species
GCCGAUGAGCUUGUGGAAGCGGAACGGUUUCCAAAACCGUGUCCCGGGGGUUCGACUCCCUCCAUCGGUG